rnacentral:lncRNA from 1 species
GGGACUCCACUAUUCUAGAUCUUUAGGCUCCUCGUGAUGUGCUCUUCAAGCUGGACUUCUCUGUAUCUGAAUUUUAGCUACUGUGGAUCAAAUUUGAGAUAUCUGGUCUCAAUAAUCUCUACCUCGACUCGACAUUCAGUCUCUACCUGACUUUGAAAGCUUCUAAAUCUUCUCACCCCCUUGCCUCAGGGCAAAUGCUUGCUACUCAUAGAUGGGCAAAUAUGAG